UUAAGCGACUAAGCGUACACGGUGGAUGCCCUGGCAGUCAGAGGCGAUGAAGGACGUGCUAAUCUGCGAAAAGCGUCGGUAAGGUGAUAUGAACCGUUAUAACCGGCGAUGUCCGAAUGGGGAAACCCAGUGCAAUUCGUUGCACUAUCGUUAACUGAAUACAUAGGUUAACGAGGCGAACCGGGGGAACUGAAACAUCUAAGUACCCCGAGGAAAAGAAAUCAACCGAGAUUCCCCCAGUAGCGGCGAGCGAACGGGGAGCAGCCCAGAGUCUGAAUCAGCUUGUGUGUUAGUGGAACGGUCUGGAAAGUCCGACGGUACAGGGUGAUAGUCCCGUACACCAAAAUGCACAGGUUGUGAACUCGAAGAGUAGGGCGGGACACGUGGUAUCCUGUCUGAAUAUGGGGGGACCAUCCUCCAAGGCUAAAUACUCCUGACUGACCGAUAGUGAACCAGUACCGUGAGGGAAAGGCGAAAAGAACCCCGGCGAGGGGAGUGAAAAAGAACCUGAAACCGUGUACGUACAAGCAGUGGGAGCACCUUCGGGUGUGACUGCGUACCUUUUGUAUAAUGGGUCAGCGACUUAUAUUCUGUAGCAAGGUUAACCGUAUAGGGGAGCCGCAGGGAAACCGAGUCUUAACUGGGCGUUAAGUUGCAGGGUAUAGACCCGAAACCCGGUGAUCUAGCCAUGGGCAGGUUGAAGGUUGGGUAACACUAACUGGAGGACCGAACCGACUAAUGUUGAAAAAUUAGCGGAUGACUUGUGGCUGGGGGUGAAAGGCCAAUCAAACCGGGAGAUAGCUGGUUCUCCCCGAAAGCUAUUUAGGUAGCGCCUCGUGAAUUCAUCUUCGGGGGUAGAGCACUGUUUCGGCUAGGGGGUCAUCCCGACUUACCAACCCGAUGCAAACUACGAAUACCGAAGAAUGUUAUCACGGGAGACACACGGCGGGUGCUAACGUCCGUCGUGAAGAGGGAAACAACCCAGACCGCCAGCUAAGGUCCCAAAGUCAUGGUUAAGUGGGAAACGAUGUGGGAAGGCACAGACAGCCAGGAUGUUGGCUUAGAAGCAGCCAUCAUUUAAAGAAAGCGUAAUAGCUCACUGGUCGAGUCGGCCUGCGCGGAAGAUGUAACGGGGCUAAACCAUGCACCGAAGCUGCGGCAGCGACACUAUGUGUUGUUGGGUAGGGGAGCGUUCUGUAAGCCUGCGAAGGUGUGCUGUGAGGCAUGCUGGAGGUAUCAGAAGUGCGAAUGCUGACAUAAGUAACGAUAAAGCGGGUGAAAAGCCCGCUCGCCGGAAGACCAAGGGUUCCUGUCCAACGUUAAUCGGGGCAGGGUGAGUCGACCCCUAAGGCGAGGCCGAAAGGCGUAGUCGAUGGGAAACAGGUUAAUAUUCCUGUACUUGGUGUUACUGCGAAGGGGGGACGGAGAAGGCUAUGUUAGCCGGGCGACGGUUGUCCCGGUUUAAGCAUGUAGGCUGGUUGUCCAGGCAAAUCCGGAUAAUCAAGGCUGAGGUGUGAUGACGAGGCACUACGGUGCUGAAGUAACAAAUGCCCUGCUUCCAGGAAAAGCCUCUAAGCAUCAGGUAACAUUAAAUCGUACCCCAAACCGACACAGGUGGUCAGGUAGAGAAUACCAAGGCGCUUGAGAGAACUCGGGUGAAGGAACUAGGCAAAAUGGUGCCGUAACUUCGGGAGAAGGCACGCUGGUGUGUAGGUGAAGUCCCUGCGGAUGGAGCUGAGACCAGUCGAAGAUACCAGCUGGCUGCAACUGUUUAUUAAAAACACAGCACUGUGCAAACACGAAAGUGGACGUAUACGGUGUGACGCCUGCCCGGUGCCGGAAGGUUAAUUGAUGGGGUUAUCCGUAAGGAGAAGCUCUUGAUCGAAGCCCCGGUAAACGGCGGCCGUAACUAUAACGGUCCUAAGGUAGCGAAAUUCCUUGUCGGGUAAGUUCCGACCUGCACGAAUGGCGUAAUGAUGGCCAGGCUGUCUCCACCCGAGACUCAGUGAAAUUGAACUCGCUGUGAAGAUGCAGUGUACCCGCGGCAAGACGGAAAGACCCCGUGAACCUUUACUAUAGCUUGACACUGAACAUUGAGCCUUGAUGUGUAGGAUAGGUGGGAGGCUUUGAAGCGUGGACGCCAGUCUGCGUGGAGCCAACCUUGAAAUACCACCCUUUAAUGUUUGAUGUUCUAACGUUGGCCCCUUACCGGGGUUGCGGACAGUGUCUGGUGGGUAGUUUGACUGGGGCGGUCUCCUCCCAAAGCGUAACGGAGGAGCACGAAGGUUAGCUAAUCCUGGUCGGACAUCAGGAGGUUAGUGCAAUGGCAUAAGCUAGCUUGACUGCGAGCGUGACGGCGCGAGCAGGUGCGAAAGCAGGUCAUAGUGAUCCGGUGGUUCUGAAUGGAAGGGCCAUCGCUCAACGGAUAAAAGGUACUCCGGGGAUAACAGGCUGAUACCGCCCAAGAGUUCAUAUCGACGGCGGUGUUUGGCACCUCGAUGUCGGCUCAUCACAUCCUGGGGCUGAAGUAGGUCCCAAGGGUAUGGCUGUUCGCCAUUUAAAGUGGUACGCGAGCUGGGUUUAGAACGUCGUGAGACAGUUCGGUCCCUAUCUGCCGUGGGCGCUGGAGAAUUGAGGGGGGCUGCUCCUAGUACGAGAGGACCGGAGUGGACGCAUCACUGGUGUUCGGGUUGUCAUGCCAAUGGCACUGCCCGGUAGCUAAAUGCGGAAGAGAUAAGUGCUGAAAGCAUCUAAGCACGAAACUUGCCCCGAGAUGAGUUCUCCCUGAGACUUUAAGUCUCCUGAAGGAACGUUAAAGACGAUGACGUUGAUAGGCCGGGUGUGUAAGCGCAGCGAUGCGUUGAGCUAACCGGUACUAAUGAACCGUGAGGCUUAACCUU
rnacentral:rRNA from 1 species